AGGAGAGUUUGAUCCUGGCUCAGGAUGAACGCUGGCGGCGUGCUUAACACAUGCAAGUCGAACGAAGCACUGAAGAAUGGAGAUUCGUCAAAGUUCUUCUUUGACUGAGUGGCGAACGGGUGAGUAAUGCGUGAGCAACCUGCCCUUCAGAGGGGGACAACAGUUGGAAACGACUGCUAAUACCGCAUGACGUGUUCGGAAGGCAUCUUCUGGAUACCAAAGGAGAAAUCCGCUGAAGGAUGGGCUCACGUCUGAUUAGCUAGUUGGUGGGGUAACGGCUCACCAAGGCGACGAUCAGUAGCCGGACUGAGAGGUUGAACGGCCACAUUGGGACUGAGAUACGGCCCAGACUCCUACGGGAGGCAGCAGUGGGGAAUAUUGGGCAAUGGGCGAAAGCCUGACCCAGCAACGCCGCGUGAAGGAAGAAGGCCUUCGGGUUGUAAACUUCUUUUAACAGGGACGAAGAAGUGACGGUACCUGUUGAAUAAGCCACGGCUAACUACGUGCCAGCAGCCGCGGUAAUACGUAGGUGGCGAGCGUUAUCCGGAUUUACUGGGUGUAAAGGGCGCGUAGGCGGGAAUGCAAGUCAGGUGUGUAAUCUACAGGCUCAACCUGUAAACUGCACUUGAAACUGCGUUUCUUGAGUGUCGGAGAGGUUGACGGAAUUCCUAGUGUAGCGGUGAAAUGCGUAGAUAUUAGGAGGAACACCAGUGGCGAAGGCGGUCAACUGGACGAUAACUGACGCUGAGGCGCGAAAGCGUGGGGAGCAAACAGGAUUAGAUACCCUGGUAGUCCCCU
rnacentral:rRNA from 1 species